ensembl:lncRNA
UUACUAUGAAUCCAAAGAUGACUUGCAUUUCUUUUUUUUUAAGUAUUUAUUUAUUAUAUAUGCAUCAUACAGUUUUCUGCCUGCAUGUAUGCCUGCAGGCCAGAAGAGGGCAUCAGAUCUCAUUACAAAUGGUUAUGAGCCAUAUAGUUGCUGGGAAUUGAACUCAGGAUCUCUGGAAGAGAAGACAGUGCUCUCAACCACUGAGCCUGAGCCGUCUCUCCACUCCUGACCCUCCUACCUUUCCUUCCUUACCAAGUGCUCCAGUUACAGAAACGUGCAAAUGUGCUUGUCACCAUUUCUUCCACUGGAGACGGGGUCUUACAUAGGCCAGGUUGGACUUGAACUUACUAUCCUGCUGCCACUCAGCCUCCACACUGUCGAGAUUAUCAGCAUACGCCAUUACACUUGGUCCAUUUCUUCAUUUACUAUCUAUAAAACUAUAUUGCUUAUUUCAGUGAAAGUUGAAAUGCUAAAUCAUAUUAAUUACAUGCUUUCUAAAAUGGGCAGGUGCUAAUGUAUAACUUUUGUUUCCCCACAGCGCAUGGAUUUAGGAGAAUGUACCAAAAUCCACAACUUGGCCCUUCGAGCAGAUUAUGAAAUUGCAAGUAAAGAAAGAGACCUGUUUUUUUUAAUUAGAUAGUUUCCUUAGCCAUGGGAUCUCCAACUGCAUGCCAGAGUAACGGAGAGACUUUGACAGCCCAGGUCAUCACAGCAGUUGCCACUCAGCUCUCCUAUAUGUUUUUCCACUGGAGUUAGGAGCCGUCUGUCCUUCUGCUGUCCUGUGGUAUUCACAACAAACUUUCCUUCUGCAGUGUACACUUGCGCGGUUCUUGGAAGAGUCUGAGGAGACAGCCUGUCAGCCUCUGCUCAUUAAGCUAAGGACCAUGUGACCAGUGUGGCGGCCAUUAUGUGAUUUGGUCUGCAUUAUUUGUUGGAAAAAUGCCACAAGAAGAUCACACUGGGAUUUGAAGUUUCUGGCUAAUACUUAGCCGGGUAGCCUUUUGUGGCCUGCAGAUCUUUAAGGCCAGAUUGGUCUACAAAGAGAAACAGCAUUUUUGGAAAAGUGAAAUACCUUUGUAACCUAACAUGCAAUUGGUUCAAUAAAGACUUUUGAAAUUUAAAAAAAAAAA